GACAGAGGGUGCAAACGUUGUUCGGAAUUACUGGGCGUAAAGCGCGUGUAGGCGGCCCUGCAAGUCGGGUGUGAAAUCCCACGGCUCAACCGUGGAAGUGCACUCGAAACUGCAGGGCUAGAGUCCUGGAGAGGAAGGUGGAAUGCUUGGUGUAGAGGUGAAAUUCGUAGAUAUCAAGCGGAACACCGGUGGCGAAGGCGGCCUCUGGACAGUGACUGACGCUGAGACGCGAAAGCGUGGGGAGCAAACAGGG
rnacentral:rRNA from 1 species